GAUGAACGCUAGCGAUAGGCUUAACACAUGCAAGUCGAGGGGCAGCAUGGUCUUAGCUUGCUAAGACUGAUGGCGACCGGCGCACGGGUGCGUAACGCGUAUGCAACUUGCCUCACAGAGGGGGAUAACCCGUCGAAAGACGGACUAAUACCGCGUACACUCCAUCUUGGGCAUCCAAGGUAGAGGAAAUGAAAUUCGCUGUGAGAUAGGCAUGCGUCCCAUUAGCUAGUUGGUGAGGUAACGGCUCACCAAGGCGACGAUGGGUAGGGGAACUGAGAGGUUGAACCCCCACACUGGUACUGAGACACGGACCAGACUACUACGGGAGGCAGCAGUGAGGAAUAUUGGUCAAUGGGCGAGAGCCUGAACCAGCCAAGUCGCGUGAGGGAUGACUGUCUUAUGGAUUGUAAACUUCUUUUAUACGGGAAUAACAAGAGUCACGUGUGACUCCCUGCAUGUACCGGAUGAAUAAGCAUCGGCUAACUCCGUG
rnacentral:rRNA from 1 species